rnacentral:tRNA from 1 species
GCGGCAGUAGUCUAGCCUGGUUAGGACACAGGCUUGCCGAGCCUGUAGCGCGGGUUCAAAUCCCGCCUGCCGCA